rnacentral:tRNA from 1 species
GCCCUGGUAGCGUAGUGGUCUAUCGCGGGCGACUCCAGAUCGUCAGGUCUUCGGUUCAAAUCCGAAUCGGGGCU